UUUUUUCGUUCGUCCAGUUCAUUUUGUUUAUCAUCUCGAAACAUUUGUGUCCUACUAACAUUCUGUCUCCUAAUAAAUAUAAGUUUUAUAAACAAAUCAUACGACACCCUCGUCUUCUCCCUCUGUCCCUCUCCGUCUUUUCUCUGAAGGCUGAAGCUGUAUCCGUCAAGCAGUGGCACCAAAGCUUGGAACUGUAUUCGAUCAUGUUAUGUCAUAUGUUUCGAGUCAACCGCAAUUCCGCUACACACAACCUCUGUCCAAGGUCCUGCAUCUGAGGAAUUUGCCAUGGGAGUGUACUGAGGAGGAGCUGAUUGAACUUGGUAAACCAUUUGGUAAAGUUGUCAACACCAAGGGUAAUGUUGGAGCCAGCCGAAACCAAGCUCUUAUUGAAUUUGGAUCAGCAUGGGACAUAUAGCAUAGGUACGGAGGCUGCAUUUUUCUAUAACUCCACUAGCUACGUGGAAUAAUUCUUACCUCUCCCUUGCAAUCAAAAUGGCCUCACAAGCUGGUGCUUUUUGGGGAGGUCAUGAUUAUGGCGUACUUUGUUGGGAUAACAAGCUUGCAGGAGCUCAAGUUACAACUUAAGAAGCAGAAGGGAAAUUUAGUUGUUUGUUAAAUUCCGAGCACUGUCAUAGUUAACUUUUUGGGGUAUUAACUGGUGAAUGGUGAGAAAUUCUUUACUUAUGGCUUCCAACAUGCAAGAAAGUGGUUGUUAUUUGCUGAAUGGAAGUGUUUUUUAUAGUAAUCUUGAGCUGUAAAUUGUAAUUAAGUACUUGACCCAUUUUAGCUUUUCUUUUGUUUUGAAAAUUUCAGCCAAAAAUCAGUUAAGAGGAAAUUUAGUCACAGAUAGUCGAAUGUUAUAGCAUUCGAGUCUUUAUUUCAACAUUGUUUGGUGACAUGGAUGUAUAAUAAAAGACAUUUGAAUGUUACAAUGUUCAAGUCUUGCUUCGACAUGAUUUGCACAUCUAUAAUAUUCAACUCAUGAGCUAUUUGGAGAAUCUGGCUGUACUAUAUGAUCAUCUAUAUACCUAUAUAAAGUAAAAUCUCAGGCGGCUUACGUGGCACUCCCAAAGCUCUUAAACUGAAAUCUUUGCUCUCUGCACUUCGCUCAGCUAAAUCAACUCUCCUUUAAUUGAUUGAUAUAUGCAUUGUUGUGUUUUGAUGAUCAAACCUGAUGGCCCUUCGCUUGCCUUGCAGUUAUUUUCUGUCUGGUACUUGGACAAGCUUUGCAAGUUCCCCCGAAUCGUAACUGAAGUCUCUAUGCCUUCUCGGAGUGUUUCUUAUAAAUGGCCUUUUGUGGGCAAUCCUUUCACAUCAGUUGCUUAUUUUGGAACCAACUAUGGAGUAACUCUUAUCUUUCUGAUAUCGAUGGUGGCACCAGUACAUUCCUCUUCUUUCAGCAAGAAGGAUUCUUGAUGCCCUCUCCAAGAAUAGUUUCUUCAACGGCGAAGUUCUUUGUGAAAAUUUAUUUUCUGUCUGGUACUUGGACAGGCUUUGCAAGUUCCCCCAAAUCGUAACUGAAGUCUCUAUGCCUUCUCCGAGAGUUUCUUUAAAAUGGCCUUUUGUGGGCAAUCCUUUCACAUCAGUUGCUUAUUUCGGAACCAACUAUGGAGUAACUCUUAUCUUUCUGAUAUCGAUGGUGGCACCAGUACAUUCCUCUUCUUUCAGCAAGAAGGAUUCUUGAUGCCCUCUCCAAGAAUAGUUUCUUCAACGGCGAAGUUCUUUGUGAAAAUGUGUAAGAGUCCGGGUUGCAACAAUUAAACAAGCAAGUGUUGAAGGUACAAAGACUGUGGAAACGGGAGCAUCUAGAGGUAUUAGCAAGGAGAUACUAUGUUAAACUUUGGCAAAAAGUUUAUAAUGUCAGGCAGGCUUUCGAGCUAAAGACCUGUGUACACCAUACUCAUGGUCCCUCCUGAUAACUUACCCAACUAUUGUGUUGCAUGUUAUUAUAUUGUUUGCGAGGUCAAGGUUUGAAUUAGAAUAAGAGGAUCCGAUGCUAAUAUAUGUGUUUUUGUAUGCCACAGGCUACUAUUGAUUAUUACUUAUUAGAAUAUGCAGCUCUAUAUAUAUUU